UUGGAUAACAUGCUGAUUAUGUGCAGCGUAGAUUUGGGACAUUCGUUGUCAGACGUGAAAUGAGAUGAUUGUUCCUUUUUGGGCCGAUGGUUCGAAACUACCAGUGUGAUUUACGGUGUUUGUUUUUCAAACCAUAAGCCAACAGAAGUAAAAUGAAAAAUCAUGAACACAAAAUACUUUUUCUCUGAUUCCAUGAUUAAGAUGUUCAAUCCGAAAAAAACCAAAUUUUCUUUUCAAGUGCAUCCUCUAUGUCCUUCAUCAUCUACUGUGCUUUUCCAUGAAAUUUCUGUAGUUAACAGGUUUGAAAAUAUUUUACAACAAGAUAAGAUGUUAGCUGACUCAAACCGGCUGAUAACUAAAGUGGACAAAAUCCAUUGUGUUACGUACCUCUUUAAGUUUCAUGCGCAGCUGAAGCUACUUUUUUUCAUCCCUCCACUUCUUCUAAGGGUUGUAAUUGACUAGGUGAUAUCACGAGGUGGCCCAUUCAUGCAUUUUCCUGUUCCAAUAUUGGAACAGAUGGAACGAUUUUGGUGGCUGAAUGUCUAAGCGAUGAUGUGGUAAUGCACUCAAUUAUACCAAUAGUGACCAAAAAAUGCAUUAGUUUAACGGCCAUGUCUUGCUUGGCGUCUUCCUUGGACCCCACCACAUUUUCCAACUUCCUGCAACAGACUGUUUGCUGUUUGCAUUCUUGGCAAGGAUAGUACUUGCUCACAUCUUCAGCUUGUAAAAUGGCUUCAAAGUGCUCUUCGUUUGCAAUAUUCACCACAAAAACGAAUUUGUCAAACUGUGUGCCAAUGUCUGCCUCUGUCAUUUUUAACGGUAAACAAUUUACAUUUCAGGAGCAAAUAUGGCAAUCCGUUUUACCGAAAAAAAUAGGGAAAAAUCUAUUGCCUCCCAGAAUCCGGGGGGUAAUAGCAUUUUGUCUAUUGCCCCCCGGAAUCCAGAUGGCGCUGGCAACGGGCGAACAACAUUAUUGGCGAAUUCCAAUGGGUGCCCUAGAGUUGACCUAGGGCAAUUUUUUGCCCUAAGUAUGUUCCAAUGGGCUGACGGGGCAACUUUUUUUCAGAGCAACCCUGGGUUUUUGUGUUCCAAUGGCUGCCCCAAAUUUUUAGAGUUGCCCUAAAACUGCCCUUUCGGGCGCUCGCAAAAACUGACUUUUUUUUCAGUUUUUCAAACCCUGAACGGGGCACUUCCUAGCAGACGAAUUUUUUACUUUUUUGCAGACGAAUUCGUUGUUGUUAGCAGUUAGUCUUGUUUAUGCUGUAUUAUUUUGUUUUACAUAACUUGUUUUAUAGUGAGGAGACUUUUGCAACAACGAGUGUACCGAUUAAAAAAAAUGAGGAUGGAUUAAGUGUCCUACGUCAGGUAAAGUAUUUCUCAUUGAAUAGACUUUUUUUUAAUUUAGUAAGUUGCAGCAGUGAUUUUGGAACGAUCUUGGCUGGUUUUCGCUCCCCAUAUGCCUAUAUAGUUAAUAAUCAAGCGCUAAAUUAAGCCAUAUCGACGUUGUUACAGUAAAAAAUGGUUUGAAAUCACCAGGAUACCAUUUGUAGCAAUAACCACGGAAGCUGUACCGCUAAAACUAAAAUGCAAUAAUUAUGAUGGUCUUUAAUG